AGAGGUAACUAGAUGGAAUUGUGGCUGCUAACUGUGAUUUGAGUAUGAAAUAUAUUCUUACCUUUG
rnacentral:tRNA from 1 species